rnacentral:lncRNA from 1 species
UGUUUGUGUAACGCCUUAUGUUCCCGGUGCCCACAGAGACCAGAAGAGGGCAUCAGAUCUGGAGUAACAGAGGGUCAAGAGGUACCAUGUGGGUGCUGGGAUCAAGCCCAAGUCCUCUGCAAGAGCACCAAGUGCCCUUAACCACAGAGCCAUCUCGCCAGAGCCCAUUGCGGUUUUCUGAGACACUGCACUGUAUACCCUGGCUGUCUGGAACUUAAAGGCGAAGGCAACUCAGCAGAGAAGAAUGUGGCACUGAGACAACCCAGACUCAUCAAAAGAACGAGGUUGAGCCAGACCGUGGUGGUGCUCACCUUUGUCCCAGUGCUCAGGACAUAGCAGUAGCAGUGCAUGUGGAGGUCAGAGGACAACCUGGGACCUGAAUUCUCACAUUCCACCGUCCUUGAAAUAAGGUGAGACAGCUCUCUGGCCCUUGAGCUCCUGACUCUCCUGUCUCUGCUUCCCAUCUGACCACAGAAGUGCUUGAAUUAUAGACCUGCCAAUCACUGGCAUUCUGACUUGGGUCUUCAUGCCUGUGUGGCCAGUGCUUUCCCAAAUGAGUUAUCUCCCCAGAUCGAGAGAAAGCUUCCCAAAUCUGGAAGACACACCCAGUGUCCCCAACACAAUGAGUGUAAUUUCAACACCAUACCAAGGACAAAAACUGAGUCUUCUGCUUCUGGCAGUGGUGGUUUUCUCGGCAUCUGAGGCUUACUUUGGGGUAAUUGGGCCCUAGGUAGCACGUAGUCUUAAAUGAGUAGCUUAUGGUCUCUACUGUCAGGGAACUUGCUCCCUGAAUGUAGACCAGGCUGGCCUUGACUUGAGAGAUCCACCUGCCUCUGCCACCACAGUGCUGGGAUUAAAGGUGCAGGCCACCAUCUCUGGGCUUUCAAACGAGAUUCUAAGCGAUGCCAUUGUAGUCACAGGAAAGGAAAGAUGAGAUUUUCUAUUUUCUUUUCCUGGGAGACAUAAAGAAAGAGCAAGUGGGACGUGGUGGCACACGCCUUUAAUCCCAGCACUUGGGAGGCA